rnacentral:rRNA from 1 species
UACGUAGGGGGCAAGCGUUGUCCGGAAUUAUUGGGCGUAAAGAGCUCGUAGGCGGUCUGUCGCGUCUGCUGUGAAAAUCCAGGGCUCAACCCUGGACCUGCAGUGGGUACGGGCAGACUAGAGUGCGGUAGGGGAGAUCGGAAUUCCUGGUGUAGCGGUGAAAUGCGCAGAUAUCAGGAGGAACACCGGUGGCGAAGGCGGCUCACUGGCCCGGUACUGACGCUGAGGUGCGAAAGCGUGGGGAGCAAACAGG